rnacentral:snRNA from 1 species
CAGUUCAAGAAAGCUGUGG